CACGUAGGCGGCCUUGUAAGUUGGGGGUGAAAUCCCGGGGCUCAACCCCGGAACUGCCUCCAAAACUACAAAGCUAGAGGAUGUGAGAGGAUAGUGGAAUUCCGAGUGUAGAGGUGAAAUUCGUAGAUAUUCGGAAGAACACCAGUGGCGAAGACGACUGUCUGGCACAUUUCUGACGCUGAGGUGCGAAAGCGUGGGGAGCAAACA
rnacentral:rRNA from 1 species